GCAAGUCGAACGGUAACAGGCUGUAUGGGAUCCCUUCGGGGUGAACUGGCGCUGACGAGUGGCGAACGGGUGAGUAACACGUAGGAAUCUACCCAGAAGUGGGGGACAACCCGGACAAAUCCGGGCUAAUACCGCAUACGCCCCAAGGGGUAAAGCGGGGGACCUUUUCGAAGGCCUCGCGCUAUUGGAUGAGCCUGCGUCGGAUUAGCUUGUUGGUGAGGUAAUGGCCCACCAAGGCAACGAUCCGUAGCUGGUCUGAGAGGAUGACC
rnacentral:rRNA from 1 species